rnacentral:rRNA from 1 species
UACGAAGGGGGCUAGCGUUGCUCGGAAUCACUGGGCGUAAAGGGUGCGUAGGCGGGGCUUUAAGUCAGGGGUGAAAUCCUGGAGCUCAACUCCAGAACUGCCUUUGAUACUGAAGAUCUUGAGUUCGGGAGAGGUGAGUGGAACUGCGAGUGUAGAGGUGAAAUUCGUAGAUAUUCGCAAGAACACCAGUGGCGAAGGCGCCUAUCUGGCUGACAACUGACGCUGAGACUCGAAAGCAUGGGGAGCAAACAGG